AUGUGUUUCUCUGUGUGUCCACCGGGGGUGCUGCUGGGUCUCAGCUGCUCCCAGUCUCUACCCCGCAGACGCCCCGCCAGCCCCAGGAUUCUAAUCCAACACGCCUCCCCAGAAGACGACAGCAAAUGGAUGAUGGAACCUCUAGUACCUAGACAGGAGACAGUUAACCACCUCAGUGCAAAGAAGAGGCAAACUCGGAGCCUGGACUCAUCCACCUGUCACACUCUGGGCAAGAAGCUCCCUGACAACGACAGGUAAGGGGGCCAACCAUAACAUAUACCCUGAUUUUUGUUUAUCAACAUCAUCACUUCCGGCCCAAUCCUCAAACUUUCAUAAAAUCUCCCAUUCACAUCAGCACAGAAUUGAAAUUAAAGUUUGAGUCGAGCAUGUGAAUCUCAUUGCGAGAUUCAUCCUGCCAUCAUAGUCUGUCCCCUCCCACAAAUUCCCAGUCUAGGAUGAAGUUCACUUUAGACACUGAUCUAAGAUCAGUUUUCCCCCACAAUAAUUGAGGUUAGGAUUUGUUUGGGGUAAACUGAUCCUAAAUCUGCACCUAUAUGGUGACUUUUACCUCUAGUGGGGAUCCCCCUAUUUGCUGUCCACCAGUUCAUCCACAUUACCACAAUUUUAAACGCUGAUUUCAGAAUAAUCUAUCAGAUUAAGUCACGUACACAUGUACUGUACUGGGCUGCAGUGCAGUACAGCGGUUAGCAUGGGGAUGCUAACAUAAUCAUGAAAGCAUGGGUCAGGAUUCGCUGAGAUGGAGGCAAGAUGAGCUUGCGUUUGUAAUUGGCAGUUCAGUAUCAAGGUGGGGUCUUUCCUAAUAUGGAAUCGGGUAGUUUGACCUGCACCUUUAACAAUGUUUUCUUCUGAGAUGUCUCUCACACUGUGUAUGCUGAUUUCAAUAUGUUUGACAAAGCUCCUUCUUUUCUUUUCAUCAUUUUUCCUUUUUUUCCUCUUUUCCUCUAUUCUGUUAUUUUCUUAAAUUUUUGCAUGCUGCGACUUUGUGCACACGGUGUGUAUGGUGUGUGUGUUGGGGCCCCCAGAAUGAAGCCCACCUCCAUCCUGAGGGGGUCCCGAGGACGGCCCCCUCCCCUGCGGCCUCUCGGUAAGGGGACCCUCCGAGAGUUGGCCCCGGGCUCACCCCAUCCAUACAGGUGCUGACCUCUGACCUCUCACCUCAGUCCCCUUGGAGGAGCGGCCUGAGAGAGAAAGAGCUGUUGCCUUCCUCCUCCAUAAUUCCACUGCCUAUAAUGCACUAUUUAUUUGAUUUUGUACCCCAGCCAUGGGCCUGUGUGUGUGUGUGUGUGUGUGUGUGUGUGUGUGUGUGUGUGGGUGUGGGUGUGUGGUGUGUGUGUGUGUGUGUGUGUGUGUGUGUGUGUCGUUUGCGUGUGUGGUUGUGCGUUGUGUGUGAUGUGUUUGUGUGUAAGUGUACACUGAGGUACAAAACAUAUAAGAACAUAACAUAGACUGACAAGAUGAAUCCAGGUGAAAGCUGUGAUCUUA
rnacentral:lncRNA from 1 species